GGACGGGUGAGUAACACGUGGAUAACCUACCUAUAAGACUGGGAUAACUUCGGGAAACCGGAGCUAAUACCUGAUAAUAUAUUGAACCGCAUGGUUCAAUAGUGAAAGACGGUUUUGCUGUCACUUAUAGAUGGAUCCGCGCCGCAUUAGCUAGUUGGUAAGGUAACGGCUUACCAAGGCAACGAUGCGUAGCCGACCUGAGAGGGUGAUCGGCCACACUGGAACUGAGACACGGUCCAG
rnacentral:rRNA from 1 species